rnacentral:rRNA from 1 species
GACGAACGCUGGCGGCGUGCUUAACACAUGCAAGUCGAACGGAAAGGCCCUGCUUUUGUGGGGUGCUCGAGUGGCGAACGGGUGAGUAACACGUGAGUAACGUGCCCUUGACUUUGGGAUAACUUCAGGAAACUGGGGCUAAUACCGGAUAGGAGCUCCUGCUGCAUGGUGGGGGUUGGAAAGUGUCGGCGGUUGGGGAUGGACUCGCGGCUUAUCAGCUUGUUGGGGGGGUAGUGGCUUACCAAGGCUUUGACGGGUAGCCGGCCUGAGAGGGUGACCGGCCACAUUGGGACUGAGAUACGGCCCAGACUCCUACGGGAGGCAGCAGUGGGGAAUAUUGCACAAUGGGCGGAAGCCUGAUGCAGCAACGCCGCGUGCGGGAUGACGGCCUUCGGGUUGUAAACCGCUUUCGCCUGUGACGAAGCGUGAGUGACGGUAAUGGGUAAAGAAGCACCGGCUAACUACGUG